UGGCUCUAGCAUCGAUGAAGAACGCAGCGAAACGCGAUAAGUAAUGUGAAUUGCAGAAUUCAGUGAAUCAUCGAAUCUUUGAACGCACAUGGCGCCUCCUAGUAUCCUGGGAGGCAUGCCUGUCCGAGCGUCGUUUCAACCCUCGGUGCCCCUCUUCUGGCGGCCCGGUGUUGGGGUUCCACGCCUGGCGUGGUCCCUGAAAAUCAGCGGCGGACCCACGGCGGCCCUUCCCUUGCGUAGUAACUUAUGUCUCGCAUCGGGAGCCCCUGGGUUUCUCCAGCCGUCAAAACCCCCCACAAGCCCGCCCCCGCGCGGCACUUGGUUGACCUCGGAUCAGGUAGGAAUACCCGCUGA
rnacentral:misc_RNA from 1 species